UGCCAUGCCGCCUUCGGUUCCUCCACGGCGGCGCGUCAAUUACGGACCUCGCGGCAGAGAGCAUCUCCGAGCGCUGGCCCUCACGUGACGUCGUCGUUUGUGAUCCUUGACAUGGAGGCCAUAUAUGGGCCCUUUCGCCUCAGAGGAUUUUGGGUUUCCGACCCCGUAGCAUGAUUUCUUCAUGCGGGGCGAAGGGCCAGCCGGGCACCCCUCCACUAACAAAUGACGUCAUCCUGCUGUACCCACACAACCUUCCUAGCAGGUGCUAUGUCGCAGAUGAGGAAACUGAGGCCCAGAGAGGUUGGGGGACUUGUCCAUAAUCCCACAAUGUACAAGUGGUGGUUUACAUCUGAACCAGAACUUUCUGACGCAAAAGGCAGUGCUUUUAGCCACAGCUCCACCCGCCAUGUAACAGGGAAUCCGAAUGUUGGGGCCAAACAAAGAACCCCACCCACAAGGCUACGAAAGGAAAUUGGUGGACAUUUGCUUUUUGUAAACUUGGACCUUACUCAUCCUAGCUGGGAGCAUUGACACUGCAGUAAAGGUCCGCAAAGCCCCAAGACAAAGACAGGCCGGCCUGUCCGUUGACGUCACGGGUUGGUCACGUCCAGAACGAACGGGUCGGGCUAAGUCAGCAGUUCCCGCCUGAAGCCGCACAGUAGAACCCUAUGAAACGUACCUGUGCCUGACUCUUCCCCCAGAGAUUCUUCUUGAAUGCAUGUGAGCGGAGGGCCGAACAGCACUGACUUUUUAAAACUUUUUAUUAACGUAUCAUACACACAAAAAGCGCACACAGGUGCACAGCUCCACCGAACUUUGCAAACAGAGGACACUCAGCAUCUGCAUCGAAGGGAGGAUCUUAGCAGCCCUCCCCCACUUUUGCACCCCUCUUUGCCCCCGUCUCUACACUACCACCCACCUCCUCCUGCCAAGGAGGGGUGACCACUCCCCUGACCUCUAACAGUAAAGGUUGUUUUGAAUGUC